GCUUACGGCACACCUCCCUGAGCACGCCCGAUCUCGUCUGAUCUCGAAGCUAAGCAGGGUCGGGCCCGGUUAGUACUUGGAUGGGAGACCGCCUGGGAAUCCAGGUGCUGUAAGCC
rnacentral:rRNA from 1 species